UUUAGCAGAGGACAAGAUAUAUCGAGGUAAUAAAUUGUAAUUUGAUAUAUGUUUGCUUAACACUGUUAGACAAAUGUAGAAUUUACACGCGGUUCGCAUAAUAAGUAUAUUGAAAAUGGAUUUAAUUACCUUAUCUUUUUUUUUAAAAAAAAAAAAAAAAGAUGUGCUAAAUAGACUCGAUGCCGAAUCCCAACAUUUUUGGUGAAUUUAUUUACAGUCGUUGAAUUGUAAAUACAAAGCAAAAUAAUUUAAUGAGCCAAAUGCACAUUUAUAUAUGAUAAAGAGAGUAUUAAAUACUUAAUAAAUUUUUAAAUGAAACUGAAUAACUAAUUAACGGAAAACAAGGAUGAAGCAUGCAAUUGAAUAUAAACAAAUACUAAUUACUUC